CCCGCAACGAGCUCACCCUUGUCAUUAGUUGCUACAAAAGGGCACUCUAAUGAGACUGCCGGUGACAAACCGGAGGAAGGUGGGGAUGUUCCUCAAGUCCUCAUGGCCCUUACGGGUAGGGCUUCCCACGUCAUACUAUGGUACAUACAUAGGGCCGUCAACCCGUGUGGGGGAGCUAAUCCCACAAAGUGUAUUUUAGUCCGGAUUGUAGUUCUGCAACUCGUCUACAUGAAUUUGCGAUCGCUAGUUCUCUUGGAUCACCACGUCUCGAUAAAUACGUU
rnacentral:rRNA from 1 species